AGAUUAAGUUAUUAAGGGCGCACGGUGGAUGCCUUGGCACUAGAAGCCGAUGAAGGACGUUACUAACGACGAUAUGCUUUGGGGAGCUGUAAGUAAGCGUUGAUCCAGAGAUUUCCGAAUGGGGAAACCCAGCAUGAGUUAUGUCAUGUUAUCGAUAUGUGAAUACAUAGCAUAUCAGAAGGCAGACCCGGAGAACUGAAACAUCUUAGUACCCGGAGGAAGAGAAAGAAAAAUCGAUUCCCUGAGUAGCGGCGAGCGAAACGGGAAGAGCCCAAACCAACAAGCUUGCUUGUUGGGGUUGUAGGACACUCUAUACGGAGUUACAAAAGUAUAUAUUAGACGAAUCAUCUGGAAAGUUGAAUCAAAGAAGGUAAUAAUCCUGUAGUCGAAAAUAUAUGCUCUCUUGAGUGGAUCCUGAGUACGACGGAGCACGUGAAAUUCCGUCGGAAUCUGGGAGGACCAUCUCCUAAGGCUAAAUACUCUCUAGUGACCGAUAGUGAACCAGUACCGUGAGGGAAAGGUGAAAAGUACCCCGGAAGGGGAGUGAAAGAGAACUUGAAACCGUGUGCUUACAAGUAGUCAGAGCCCGUUAAUGGGUGAUGGCGUGCCUUUUGUAGAAUGAACCGGCGAGUUACGAUUUGAUGCAAGGUUAAGCAGCUAAUGUGGAGCCGUAGCGAAAGCGAGUCUGAAUAGGGCGUUUAGUAUUUGGUCGUAGACCCGAAACCAGGUGAUCUACCCUUGGUCAGGUUGAAGUUCAGGUAACACUGAAUGGAGGACCGAACCGACUUACGUUGAAAAGUGAGCGGAUGAACUGAGGGUAGCGGAG
rnacentral:rRNA from 1 species